rnacentral:rRNA from 1 species
GAUGAACGCUGGCGGCGUGCUUAAUACAUGCAAGUCGAACGGAAAGGUACUGCUUUUGUUGCUUGGUCGUUUGGCGCACGGGUGAGUGUCACGUGUGUAACAUCCCCCUGUAUUUCGGGUAACUUCAGGAGAAUGGGGCUCAUACCGGGUAUGAGAUCUUGAUGCGUGUUGGUGGUUGGAGAGUUUCGGCUUUUGUGUAUGGUCUAGAUGGAUCCGCGCCGUAUGAGCUAGUUGGUGAGGUAACGGCUUACCAAGGGAACGAUACGUAGGCGACCUGAGAGGGUGAUCGGCCACCCUGGAACUGAGACGCGGUCCAGACUCCUACGGGAGGCAGCAGUAGGGAAUGUUACGCAAUGGGCAAAAGCCUGACGGAGCAACGCGGCGUGAGUGAUGAAGGUCUUGGGAUCGUAAAACUGUGUUAUUAGGGAAGAACAAAUGUGUAAGUAAAUGUGCACGGCGUGACGGUACCUAAUCAGAAAGCCACGGCUAACUACGUG